UGGGGAAUCUUGCACAAUGGGGGCAACCCUGAUGCAGCGACGCCGCGUGAGCGAUGAAGCCCUUCGGGGCGUAAAGCUCUUUCGACCGGAACGAUAAUGACGGUACCGGGAGAAGUAGCUGCGGCUAACUACGUGCCAGCAGCCGCGGUAAUACGUAGGCAGCAAGCGUUGUUCGGAGUUACUGGGCGUAAAGAGUGCGUAGGCGGUUUUCUAAGUUCGGUGUGAAAUCUCCCGGCUUAACUGGGAGGGUGCGCCGAAGACUGGGAAGCUGGAGUGUGGGAAAGGCAGGCGGAAUUCCUGGUGUAGCGGUGAAAUGCGUAGAUAUCAGGAGGAACACCGGCGGUGUAGACGGCUUGCUAGACCAUAACUGACGCUGAGGCACGAAAGCGUGGGUAGCAAACA
rnacentral:rRNA from 1 species